rnacentral:rRNA from 1 species
GGGGAAUUUUGGACAAUGGGGGCAACCCUGAUCCAGCCAUGCCGCGUGAGUGAAGAAGGCCUUCGGGUUGUAAAGCUCUUUCGGACGGAAAGAAAUCGCCGCCUCUAACAUAGGCGGUGGAUGACGGUACCGUAAGAAGAAGCACCGGCUAACUCCGUGCCAGCAGCCGCGGUAAUACGGAGGAUCCGAGCGUUAUCCGGAUUUAUUGGGUUUAAAGGGUGCGUAGGCGGCACUUUAAGUCAGGGGUGAAAGACGGCAGCUCAACUGUCGCAGUGCCCUUGAUACUGAAGUGCUUGAAUGCGGUUGAAGACGGCGGAAUGAGACAAGUAGCGGUGAAAUGCAUAGAUAUGUCUCAGAACACCGAUUGCGAAGGCAGCUGUCUAAGCCGUUAUUGACGCUGAUGCACGAAAGCGUGGGGAUCGAACA